UACGUAGGUGACAAGCGUUGUUCGGAGUUACUGGGCGUAAAGGGCUCGUAGGCUGCCAACUAAGUCAGACGUGAAAUCCCUCGGCUUAACCGGGGAACUGCGUCUGAUACUGGAUGGCUUGAGAUUGGGAGAGGGAUGCGGAAUUCCAGGUGUAGCGGUGAAAUGCGUAGAUAUCUGGAGGAACACCGGUGGCGAAGGCGGCAUCCUGGACCAACACUGACGCUGAGGAGCGAAAGCCAGGGGAGCAAACGGG
rnacentral:rRNA from 1 species